AUUGAACGCUGGCGGCACGCCUAACACAUGCAAGUCGAGCGGCAGCGAGACUAGUAGCAAUACUAGUUGUCGGCGAGCGGCGGACGGGUGAGUAACACGUAGGAAUCUGCCCUUAAGCGGGGGAUAACCAAGGGAAACUUUGGCUAAUACCGCAUAAUCUCGAGAGAGCAAAGCUGCCCGCAAGGGUGGCGCUUGAGGAGGAGCCUGCGUCCGAUUAGCGAGUUGGUGGGGUAAUGGCCUACCAAGGCGAUGAUCGGUAACUGGUCUGAGAGGACGACCAGUCACACUGGGACUGUGACACGGCCCAGACUCCUACGGGAGGCAGCAGUGGGGAAUAUUGGACAAUGGGGGCAACCCUGAUCCAGCGAUGCCGCGUGAGUGAAGAAGGCCUUCGGGUCGUAAAGCUCUUUAGGUUGGGAAGAAGGGUAUUGGCUGAAUAACCUAGUACUUUGACGGUACCGACAGAAUAAGCACCGGCAAACUCUGUGCCAGCCGCCGCGGUAAGAC
rnacentral:rRNA from 1 species